CUUUCCAGAGAUGCGUUUCAGGUUUAGGUGAAAAGCUGCCGUUACACCUGAGCCUGACAGAGCUGCAGAGGUCUGACUGCACUGUGACCGAUUCACAGGACGAGAUGAUGGACAGCUUCAGCCCGGCUUCAGCCCGCUCCGGUCCUCGCUGCCAACAUAAACCUCAGCGCUUCAGACUGAGACCCAUGCAUCAGAGCACCCUCAGCCUGGGCGACACGCCGCCCUGCUACACCACCACCCACACCCAGAGUUAUUCCGGCAGGUCAGCCGAUGGACGUCCUCUCGUCUUCCGCCUCAGAGACCCCGGCUUCCCCUCGCAGCACUGGAGCCAGCUGGAUCUCCGUGACAACACCAUGCCGCCGCAAAGUGUGUUGCAGUCACACAGCAAAGAGGUGCACGUGCGCCAGCACGUGACUCGGAGAGUUGACCCAAAGUUGGAAAACUGGGCUCGGUAUAACAGCAGCAGAGCCAUCAGAGAGCUCAUCAACCAUCAUCAGCAUCAUCCAUCCGAGCGCCGGAGCACCUACAGGACGGAGCACACGAGCCCGGAGUUCAACGGCUCGUCACUGCAGGCCAGCGGCCGACAGACGCAGUGGCACCAACACGACAUCCUGACAGGUGAACCAAAGCAGGUGAUUGGGCCGGGGAAGUCCAGCAGACGGUCCAGAGAUCAGCAGCUGUGGGCGACCAGACGCUGGGAGACGGACUGUACUGCAUUCAGACUCUACUGACAGGAAGUAACGCCACAGGAAACCUCCAUUAAAUGUACAAACCCUGUCAGGACUCUUCUGUGGUCUGCCGAUGCUUCUCAGAGCAUUCCUAUAUGAUGCAGGAACGAUGUUUCUCCUCCAGGACUCAGUGAAUAUAAACAAGUAAACUUUAACUGAAGGGGCUCAGAUGGGCAGGAAAACACAGAAAUACUAAAAUCCAAAGUCCACGGGAGGCUCCAGCAGGGAGUCGGCCACCAACUUUACAGCAUAAAUAAACAC
ensembl:lncRNA